CCUUCACAGACCUCAUUUAAGGGUUGGCAGUGGGGGUGAGGGCAUCUCUUGUUGGAGUUCUCUGCUUACCUGAGGCCUUCUAAAAGAUCACAGAAAGUAAGGCUGAAGGAGUUGAGAGAUGCUACAAGUCAUCCUUUCCAUCCACAAAGAAGAACAGCUAAAUCUUGUCCUUUUCCUCACAUUCCUUCAUCUGAAUGUUCCUGGGAACAAGGCAAGAGCAGUCCCUAUUUGCUGAGAGUGUUCCAGAUGAAGAGAUACUCUGGGAUGGAGGGAAGCAUCUCCCCAUGCUUUUCCAGGUUGUUACACUUUACUCUGAGGAAGUAAAUGGAGUUCUGGCACUUACAGCUGAUUUCUGUUCUCUGCUUUAUGAAAGAUUAAAAGAAUGUGAAGAAUUAAAUCAAAUUGCUUAACUCUCUGUAUUUUCUAAGUAGUCUGUCAAGUAACUUUGCAAUC